rnacentral:lncRNA from 8 species
AUGAUUGAUUUGCAGUAUACUGUCAACAGCACCUCUGUUUCUCGGUCUCUUCUUCAGGGCCCUUCAGGACCUAUUGGAAUCCAGGGACCUGUUGGCCAUCCAGGGUUACCGGUACGUCUAUUCAAUGUAUCUGUCUUUAUUGUGUGUUUGUGUGUACUGUAUGUGUGUACAGCACUGACCUCUGUGUGUGUUUCAGGGUGUGGACGGGGAGCCGGGGCCGAGGGGCCAGCAGGGGAUGUACGGGCCGAAGGGAGACGAGGGAGCGAGAGGCCACAAGGGGGCCACAGGACCCACUGGACUACAGGGCAUGCCAGGACUCCCAGGAGAGAAGGGAGACAGUGGACACGUGGGCACGAUGGUGAGUACUGGACAUACCAUUGGACAAUGAUAUCAUUUCCCUAUGUCCUAUUGUUGACCUGGCAGCCUCACUGGACUCUCCCUCCAAAGAUCAUUCCUUAAGUAUGUCUCUCAUCUUCAUUGUGGUAGAAAGCCUAACUAAAGUAAAACCCUUCUUGGAGACAGUGUCUAGAGUCUGGCUCCGUGUAGAGUGACUGGAGCGUAGCAGAACAGAACAGACAUGACACGUCCAGCUACACAUCCAGAGAGGACUAGGGCUUUGUGUCUAAAUGUAACAAGGAGUUCCUCUGAAGAGAGAGAGAGUGAGAGAGUGAGAGGGAGAAGAGGAAGAGUCAGUUGAGUGAAGGAGGGAGAGAGAAAGCAAGGGAUAGGGAUGGAGAGAGAGAGAGCGAGAGAGAGAGCGAGAGAGAGAGAGAGAGAGGGAGAAAAGGAAGAGUCGGUGGAGUGAAGGAGGGAGAGAGAAAGCAAGGGAUAGGGAAAGAGAGAGAGAGAGAGAGAGAGAGAGGGCGGUGGUUUGAGGAGGAAGACUGCAGCGUGACAGCUGCUAAUCAGAUUAGCCUGAGCCAGGCCUGUCUAAUGAGCAUCUUCCUUCUAUUGUGACAGUCAUUUCAGAACGCCACAGACCGUGAACACAUGCUAAAUAAGAUUCUACACACACAGCUAGCGCCACAGCACACUCAGCCUGAUUAGGGAGAGGGGAAGGAAGCGUCAAAAAACGGAACAAAAAAACAAAAGAGGGAACAAAAAGAAAGAGAGGGAGCGGAUGAGAGGGAACGAAAUAUAUGGGUUGGAUAGAGAGAGAGGGCAAGGAGGAGAGAUCUCACUGGGAAAGCCUCAUCCAUGUGAAUGCUGUGGUACACAGGAUUGCAGCUUCUAAUGCACGCGUAGCUCCCCAGUAGCAGGAUUAUAGGAUGUGUUUACUGUAGUGGAUGUAGUACUGUCUGGAGUAUGGCUGUCUGUCUUAGUGCUGUGUGUACAGUCUCUCACUGUAUUGGGAUUUCAGUGUUUGUGAAACACAGCUAACCAUUAACUCUGGACUGGAAGGGAGCAGUCAGUACAGUUAGGAUGAAUAGCUUGUUGUCCAUGUUGAGGUGCACAGAGGGGUAGAAUCCCAUCACACUGACUGGCUAGAGCACUCUCAUUUCCCCUGUAGCCUGA